UUCAGUAGUAACUCAAAUCUGUUGCUGUGAAUGUGCCAGCGUGUGACGGAAUUUAUCAUUGGUGGGUCUAGUAGUAACUCAAAUCUGCUGCUAUGUUGUUUUCAGCCUGGUAAGAUAGUUGUUCAUGCCACUUGCUUAACUGUGUUACCUGUUUUCAACUAGUGUACAAACAAACAAACUCUAGACAUGCAUGAGUAGUGCAAGUAUGCAAUUGAUAGUGCAUCUUACCUGAGAUGGACAAAGUCUUGCUUUGUUUAAUUACACAUAAACAUGGAUGGUAAAAACAAAAUCCCGAUUGAUUACAGAGAAAGCAAGUUGAUACUCCCAUUACUAAGAACAAGCUUGGUUAGUUGAGAGUGUUCUAUGCGAACUUCAGUUAGUUUUCCUGCAUUUUACUAUUCAUAAAUCAUGCGUUCUGAACGCGGUAUAUUGAAUCAAUCCUAUGGAAACUUAGUUCCUAAAGUUUUCCCAUGGAAUUACUCCACUAAGAACAUGCCCUAAGUAGUUUUAUUUGUGAACUGACUAUGUACUAAUGUACAUUGGUCGGCAUUUUGUGUCACUUGUUCUAUGUUUCUGCUGUCUGUAGUUACCCAGUAAUCACCCGACAUUAAUCAUAAGGUUUUUUAUUUGCCCAAUUCUAUAGGUGAUAACAACCCAUUGUUUAUUUUUUAAGUUUGUUUUCAUCAGAAUUUUCAUCAUAAGUACCAAGGAAUUGAAGCAUAGUCACCAUUUUUUUGCUUGUAUAUGUGUGCAUUAGACGUUUUGUAAUUAACUCAUCAAAAAUUAAAAUUGGGUAUGUCCAUGCCAUAUAUGCUCUCUUCUAUUGAGACAUUAUGAUAUGCCACUUUUAGUGUCAUGUUAGCCUGGACAACCUUAUGGUCUGAACCAUUGUACUUGAUGGUUUCUGUCUGUGUAUCUAUGGAUGCACCCAAUAGGUUGUAUAGAAUGUUUAAUGUUUUUCUCAAAUAUGGAAAGUGAAGUUAUGGAAAAUUUCUUUUGAGUAAUUUGAUACUAUAAUAGGUAGUAAUAUAUUUAAUCACAUAUAUUGUCCUUUUGUCUUUCGUGUGGACAUACAUGUUACAUCGCUCACAGAAUGUUACUUGGCUCACUGAAAAUUUGCAUACUUAUCAAACAGCUGCUAAGCUCUCUUUACUUUGGGCACUGUUUACCAGCAUCUCAAUCCCGACCUAGCAGGCCUGCUUACCAGCAUCAACAUGUACUUCUCUCUCCACUUCUCGUCUAGCAAAAAUGUAUGAAUAGAGAAUUCACAUUAGUUUGUUACAUUGAAUCUCUUUGUGGUUAAUUUCCCCAUUCUGGAGGAUUCAUGCUUGUUCGCUACCCCCUUGUGUAUUUUUCCAGAACACAACAUUGGCUAAACAAACUGCUCAUGGCUUCAUUUAUUCUGAGCAUAUUCAUAGUAUAGUGAUAUUUAUUUAUUUAUUGCACCAGUAUGUGAAUCAUACCCUAUUGAAUAGUAUGUAACCACAACAAAUGCCAUAUAUUUAUUUGAUAGUAGAGCAUGUAAAAUAGAACCUAUCCCACAUUGCUAUUCUUUAAGAUAUUUAUUAGUUUGAUGAGUUACUCCUCUUGAUAGUCAGAAAAUUGCAACUACACGUUUCUUGCUUUGAUAUGAUUCUUGCUUCUACUAACUGCAACACAAUAUGACAAUGAGAUUUUAAGUUUGAAUUCAUAUAUCAUUGUAUGGUUUAUGAUUUACAUUUUCAAGGGUUGUUAAUUAUAACGUUCUGUUAAGUAUGUGGUUGUUCUUUUGGAGACUAGGAAACAAGCUAACAUACAUUUUUGUUGGCAAGACUUUUACCUACCCUUUGAUGUUACAGAUUGCUAAUCUUGCAAUACAAUUUUGGGCAGAUGGAACAUGCACAUUAACUCGUUGACAAGUUUGGUCCAAACAAUAUGGAACAUGGAGGGUGUCUUGUCCUGAGACCUGAGCCAUUCACAUGUAUCGUAACGCUUUCCCUUACCUUUGGUGCAUCAUGCAAAUGUAUUUCUUUUUUCUAAUUCCCCAUCUGCUAAUGAGUUACCUAAAGUUGAAUCUAUAUUGAAUACUCAUUUACUUUCAUAACUUUGUCAAUACAUGAUGUGCACCUAGAAAAGUGUAGCUACACAUUGGAAUUUUAAAUUUUAUUUCAGGGUGGCAUUUGUAUUCUUUAUCUGGAAAUAAUACUUGCUUUUUAACCUCUAUUGUACUAUCAUGAUAGUCGUUGUUAAGCUACAAUGAGAACAUUUCGUCCAACCUUUGUCCUAUAGUGGGUGGUUGUCUUAUGAAAAAUACCUCGGUAAUGUACUUUCUUGUGAAAAAAUACCUGUGUACUGUACUAUCAUGACACUUUGGUUGUCUUAUCAUAAUUGUAGUUAUUUCCUUCUUAUUAUAGUAUAUGCGUCUUACAACAAAGAUUUUUCAAUUCAAUUGCUAUGUGGUCUGCAUGUUCUUCUCAUGUGUGAUCUUUCUUAAUGCCAGGAUAUUCUAAAAUCCAGAAGAACUAGCUACUCAUAAGUGGAUGACAGUGAACAUGAGAAGCUAUGGUUUCCUGAUUUGUUGUUAUGUGUAGUGUUGUCAUGAAGCAUAGUGGUUCUGGCUUUGUGUAAAAUCAUUAUAAGUAUUGUACCUCUUUAGAGGAGUUCAACGUUGAACUAUGUAUGUGAUUCAUGUACCUGAUGUAUCCACUAUGAUGCCUAUUGCUGAAACGAAUAUAACAAUUUACUGAUAAUAAUAGUUUCUGGCUGGAAUUAUCCACAAUGCCUUUUUUGAGGUAAAUC
rnacentral:lncRNA from 1 species